GACGGUAGCCAUAUCACCCUGUAGCCCAAGCCUGGUUGCCCACUGAAGCUAAGCAGGGCUGAGCCUCGUCAGUACCUGGAUGGGAGACCUCCUGGGAAAACUAGGUUGCUGCUGGAA
rnacentral:rRNA from 1 species